rnacentral:rRNA from 1 species
UACAGAGGUCUCAAGCGUUGUUCGGAAUCACUGGGCGUAAAGGGCGCGUAGGUGGCCCGGUCAGUUCGUGGUGAAAGCGCGGGGCUCAACCCUGCGUCGGCCAUGAAUACUGCCGCGGCUGGAGCACUGUAGAGGCAGGCGGAAUUCCGGGUGUAGCGGUGGAAUGCGUAGAGAUCCGGAAGAACACCGGUGGCGAAGGCGGCCUGCUGGGCAGUUGCUGACACUGAGGCGCGAAAGCGUGGGGAGCAAACAGG